ensembl:snoRNA small nucleolar RNA SNORA1
AGCCUCAUUCUAGAUGAAAAUGGACACUGUUGCUCAUGGUGUCCAGAAAUUGUUAAUGUGGCUGCAUUGAGAACACAGGUUAUAUUUCCAUCACAGUAACUUUAUUGUAGUGGUGACAAUGAGAUCUGUAACAUAA